GACGAACGCUGGCGGCGUGCUUAACACAUGCAAGUCGAACGGUGAUCUUGGAGAGCUUGCUCUUUGGGUGAUCAGUGGCGAACGGGUGAGUAACACGUGAGUAACCUGCCCCUGACUCUGGAAUAACUUCGGGAAACCGAUGCUAAUACCGGAUAUGACACAGAGCCGCAUGGUUUCUGUGUGGAAAGUUUUUCGGUUGGGGAUGGACUCGCGGCCUAUCAGCUUGUUGGUGAGGUAAUGGCUCACCAAGGCGACGACGGGUAGCCGGCCUGAGAGGGCGAUCGGCCACACUGGGACUGAGACACGGCCCAGACUCCUACGGGAGGCAGCAGUGGGGAAUAUUGCACAAUGGGCGAAAGCCUGAUGCAGCGACGCCGCGUGGGGGAUGAAGGCCUUCGGGUUGUAAACUCCUUUCAGUAGGGAAGAAGCGAAAGUGACGGUACCUACAGAAGAAGCACCGGCUAACUACGUGCCAGCCGCCGCCGUAACAC
rnacentral:rRNA from 1 species